UUGUGGAGGUCAGUUGAAUAAUGGGGUAAGUUUCUGAAGAAACUGUGGUGUUGGGUUGGUGGGAGAGUAUAACAGGGUAAUUUAGUGUUAUCAUUUGAGUUGAUAAAGUAAAUUGGCCACUGUAAAGAGUUUAAAAGCUUUUGAAUCUUCCACAGGAGACAAUGAAGAAACAAUCAGAAUGAAUGCAACAUGGGAAGAUCCUAAGAUUGCAGGGAUAUUUUCAAGAGAGAAAUGUGUGGCAAUAAAAUUGGAUCACAAGAGUGAGGACUGCAAGCAGUUUUCUAAACUUUGUAUCCUUUGAGAGCAUAGAAGUCACAUGUGAUUGAAACUGUUGUAGAUGCAUCUAAAG